AAGAGAAAGAUCCAGUCUGCUCUUAUCCUUGACAAUGGACCAGUCAGGGACAUUGACAGACGAGAAACACCUUAGGGGAAAGGUGCUGAGUCACAAAACCAAGGAGUGAUGUUCUUUCUCAGGGAAGGAGAGAAUGCCAGAGCCAGGUGUGGGUGAAAAAGCCCAGUCUGUGGACCCAGUGGUCAGUUAUCCUAGCCCUGCCACUGAGUGCUGGGCAACCCGGGGCAGGUUACUCAAUGUCUCAGAGCCUCAGUUUCUCCAUCUGUAAAAUGGGCAGGUAAAGCCCAUGCUAUGAUCGGUGCAGGGCUGGGUUGGGAUUCAGUGACAGCGCUCACCUCCAGCAUGGCCCUUGGCACAGGUCAGGACAGAAUGCGUUGCUCCCCACUGUCCAUCCUCAGGCCUACUGGAGAAGCAGGGUCUCUCUAGAUCAUGGAGGUGUGGAAGGGCAUUCCAGGUGCAGGGAGCAGCCUGUGCAAAGGCCCAGAAACCAGAGGGGGUCAGGAGUGCUUGGGGAGAAGCAUGCAGUGUCCCUGGGGUGUCACAGAGUGGGGUGAAGCUGCUGGGAGCCAUGAUGUGCAGAGGGAGGGCUGCUGUACUCUUUGUGGUACCUACAUCAGUCUGGGCAUGGAAUGUCACUUGCCUCCUGGGACCCCCCCCUCAGCCAGAAAGGAGCAGAAAAGUCAAACAACGACAACAGAAUCAUCAGAAAGAGAAGAGGUGCUCCCGGGCAAACCCCAUUCCUCACUACACAGAGUAACUGGAUCUGACACCCAGCAUGGGAAUGUUGGAGGUGUUGAGAAGACCUGGCCAACUUAUAUUCUGACCCAAAGAACUGGGUUUAAGUAUGUUCCCCUCAAAUGUCAGCUGGGGAGUAGAAGAACAAGUCUCCUGAUGAGCCCAGGGCAUGCCACCAGCCCAGAACAGAUUGGGAGAAGCAGCCCGAGGGGCCUCAGAGAAGAGGAAGAGGAGGCACCAACAGUAGGAAAUGGGCUUCACAUGCUGCCACCUUCUGGGGCUCUGGGUGUGGCUGGGCAUGUUACCAGUAAUAAAGAGUGGGGAUUGCAUAUCUGGACACCAGGCCGAGUCGCACUGCCAUCCUG
rnacentral:lncRNA from 1 species